rnacentral:lncRNA from 1 species
GCCAUGCUGCCCCUCCACUUACCUCUAAAUGGUUAGUCAGGAGUGGCCUCUAGUGAGAGCAACAUUUGACCAAAGUCCAGUAGGAAGUGAGGCAGCAAAACAUGGAUGUAGUCAGAGAAAGAUAAAGAAGCAGCUGGACAGCAGUAUGGAGCCCGAGGCAGCAGGGCCAAGGAUGUGCAGAAAGAGAGAAGGCUGAAGUUGCACCUUGGUCUUCUGCCCUGGAAGUUGAGGCCCUGGGCUCUGUCCUCAGCACCUUCCCCAUCCUCUGAGUACACUGCUUUGUCCCCCUUGCCAUCCUUGCCCUGUGUGCUCCUGCCUCACCCCAGCUUCCAUCCUUCUCUCCGUUAGGCACUGGCAGCCUGUCACUCCCCUCUCUCCACUGCUGACAGUGUCUCUGCCAGCACUAAUUUGCCCUUCACCUGGACUUCUGGAGACCUCUAGCUCUCUGAAUGGCCCAUGUCUUUCUGCCCUAAAUUAUAAAUUUGACAUAUAUUUUGUUUCUUUUGCCAGCUACUUGGAGGCUGAGGUCUGACUGCUAGAUUCAACCACAUGGUUUUUACAGUGCUCACUUGCUGUGUGUCCUGGGGUUACAGAGGCACGUGAAACAUGACCCCUGCCUUGAUGGAUGAAGCAUGUGUGAACAAAGAGGCACAAAGAGCCCCAAGUCCAGUUUCACACAUUGGUGAAGAGCUGGGUCUUCGUGUGGAGCUGGAAAGGAGGAAGGAGGUUCUGCAGUCUCACAUCUGCUACGCUUCAUCAGUUCUGGGGAUGAGAUGUUCCACCAGGAGGAAAGAUCAGGUGUCCUGACCAUGCUGGUGGGGGCACCACAUUGUCCUUGCCUUUGUAAUGCCAGGAGGAGGAAAGCCAGGGACCAGCUUCAGGUAGAGGAAGGAGCAGAAGCUGUGGGCUGACUCACAAAGAAGAAAAAAAAAAGAAAAAGAAAAGAAAAGAAAAAAGAAAAAUCAAGGUAAAAUUGUUUCUAAAUUGAAUGUUUUUCACUAUUUUCAGUGUGGUGUCUGCAAUACUCCAAGAUGAUUCCCUCUCGGGGGUUUCAGAAAAGCUGUAAAUAGAAUGAAUUGCUUUUAGGGACGUACUCUGGUAGUUCACUUCUCAAGAAAAUAUAUGCUAAUGCAUGUAGACUAUCAUUAUUGGGGAGACCUAUGUACCGACUCUUUUAUGCCUAUGAAGAGCGGCUUUCUGAUUGCUAGCAUUUUGCCAAAGUCUCU